GAUGAACGCUGGCGGCGUGCCUAAUACAUGCAAGUCGAGCGAACGGACGAGAAGCUUGCUUUUCUGAUGUUAGCGGCGGACGGGUGAGUAACACGUGGAUAACCUACCUAUAAGACUGGGAUAACUUCGGGAAACCGGAGCUAAUACCGGAUAAUAUUUUGAACCGCAUGGUUCAAAAGUGAAAGACGGUCUUGCUGUCACUUAUAGAUGGAUCCGCGCUGCAUUAGCUAGUUGGUAAGGUAACGGCUUACCAAGGCAACGAUGCAUAGCCGACCUGAGAGGGGGAUCGGCCACACUGGAACUGAGACACGGUCCAGACUCCUACGGGAGGCAGCAGUAGGGAAUCUUCCACAAUGGGCGAAAGCCUGACGGAGCAACGCCGCGUGAGUGAUGAAGGUCUUCGGAUCGUAAAACUCUGUUAUUAGGGAAGAACAUAUGUGUAAGUAACUGUGCACAUCUUGACGGUACCUAAUCAGAAAGCCACGGCUAACUACGCG
rnacentral:rRNA from 1 species